CGUUUCAACAACACAACCACAAAAAAUUGCAACAAUGUAAGGACGAUUGUCAUGGUUCCUGGGAAAGGAUGACACACAAAUUUAUGAAAUGUUCCAUAUUUUU